ACUCGGGAGGAGGACGUGGCUCGACCAAAGGCUCAAAGAACUCAAUAGACAGUCCAGUGUAUCUGGGACAACAGCAAAAGAAGAGCUCACAUAUUCUGCUGUUGGCCUCUUGAAGCCAGGAGGAACACGAGUGACGGCUAAUGUCUGCAAAAUCUCCUCUGUCGUCUGUGAAUCGACAAGACACAAAUAUGAAACACAGAAUAAAGUGAAACAGCUCCCAGUGCUGGUCUAGAUUGGUGUUAAAAUGGGCCAGUGCUGCACUACAACACACGGCAAACAGCAAGCUCCCGAACAUCAUGGUCUGACGAGAGAAACACAUUUAUUUUAUCUGUUAAUCAAUGAAUUCUGUUUGCAAUGUAAGAAACGUGGUACACUGUAAAAAAAAUGAUAUAAUCAAUCAGUCAUGAUAGCUUAUGUUUUUAGUUAAU
ensembl:processed_transcript